AAUGUAUAUAAGACAUUUAAUAAUAAAUGUAGAUGCUAUGUCACAUCUGUGUCAGUAGGUGGCAGAGAGGAGAGUGACUACAUUAAUACUCUAUGUUCUUACCUGUGAACAUCUACAUGAUUAGUAACUCUUAACAUU